rnacentral:rRNA from 1 species
AGAGUUUGAUCAUGGCUCAGGAUGAACGCUAGCUACAGGCUUAACACAUGCAAGUCGAGGGGAAACGAUAUUGGAAGCUUGCUUCCGAUAGGCGUCGACCGGCGCACGGGUGAGUAACGCGUAUCCAACCUGCCCACCACUUGGGGAUAACCUUGCGAAAGUAAGACUAAUACCCAAUGACGUCUCUAGAAGACAUCUGAAGGAGAUUAAAGAUUUAUUGGUGAUGGAUGGGGAUGCGUCUGAUUAGCUUGUUGGCGGGGUAACGGCCCACCAAGGCAACGAUCAGUAGGGGUUCUGAGAGGAAGGUCCCCCACAUUGGAACUGAGACACGGUCCAAACUCCUACGGGAGGCAGCAGUGAGGAAUAUUGGUCAAUGGACGAGAGUCUGAACCAGCCAAGUAGCGUGCAGGAAGACGGCCCUAUGGGUUGUAAACUGCUUUUAUAAGGGAAUAAAGUGAGAGUCGUGACUCUUUUUGCAUGUACCUUAUGAAUAAGGACCGGCUAAUUCCGCGCCAGCAGCCGCGGUAAUACGGAAGGUCCGGGCGUUAUCCGGAUUUAUUGGGUUUAAAGGGAGCGUAGGCCGGAGAUUAAGCGUGUUGUGAAAUGUAGACGCUCAACGUCUGCACUGCAGCGCGAACUGGUUUCCUUGAGUACGCACAAAGUGGGCGGAAUUCGUGGUGUAGCGGUGAAAUGCUUAGAUAUCACGAAGAACUCCGAUUGCGAAGGCAGCUCACUGGAGCGCAACUGACGCUGAGGCACGAAAGCGUGGGGAUAGAACAGGAUUAGAUACCCUGGUAUUCCACGCCGUAAACGAUGAUGGCUAACCGCCGGCGACACACUGUCGGUGGCCAAGCGAAAGCGAUAAGCCAUCCACCUGGGGAGUACGUCGGCAACGAUGAAACUCAAAGGAAUUGACGGGGGCCCGCACAAGCGGAGGAACAUGUGGUUUAAUUCGAUGAUACGCGAGGAACCUUACCCGGGCUCGAACGGCACCUGGAUCACCCAGAGAUGGGCGAGUCUUCGGACAGGUGUCGAGGUGCUGCAUGGUUGUCGUCAGCUCGUGCCGUGAGGUGUCGGCUCAAGUGCCAUAACGAGCGCAACCCUUGCCGCCAGUUGCCAUCAGGUGAUGCUGGGCACUCUGGCGGGACUGCCACCGCAAGGUGUGAGGAGGGGGGGGAUGACGUCAAAUCAGCACGGCCCUUACGUCCGGGGCGACACACGUGUUACAAUGGCGGCCACAGAGGGAAGCUACCCCGCGAGGGGAUGCGGAUCUCGAAAAGCCGUCCCAGUUCGGACUGGAGUCUGCAACCCGACUCCACGAAGUUGGAUUCGCUAGUAAUCGCGCAUCAGCCAUGGCGCGGUGAAUACGUUCCCGGGCCUUGUACACACCGCCCGUCAAGCCAUGGAAGCCGCGGGCGCCUGAAGUCCGUGACCGGAAGGAGCGGCCUAGGGCGAAAGUGGUAACUGGGGCUAAGUCGUAACAAGGUA